UACGGGGGGGGCAAGCGUUGUUCGGAAUUACUGGGCGUAAAGGGCUCGUAGGUGGCCAACUAAGUCAGACGUGAAAUCCCUCGGCUUAACCGGGGAACUGCGUCUGAUACUGGAUGACUUGAGUUCGGGAGAGGGAUGCGGAAUUCCAGGUGUAGCGGUGAAAUGCGUAGAUAUCUGGAGGAACACCGGUGGCGAAGGCGGCAUCCUGGACUGACACUGACACUCAAGCACGAAAGCGUGGGGAGCAAACAGG
rnacentral:rRNA from 1 species